AGGACUAACGCUGGCGGCGUGCCUAAUGCAUGCAAGUCGGACGCAUAUCUUCUUCGGAAGGUGUGAGUGGCAGACGGGUGAGGAACACGCGGACGACCUGCCCCGGGGCGGGGGAUACCCCGUGGAAACACGGGAUAAGCCCGCGUACGCUCCCCUCCUUGGAUGGGGGGAGAAAGAGUCGCAAGGCUCGCCCUGGGAGGGUCUGCGGCCCAUCAGCUGGACGGCGGGUAACGCCCACCGUGGCGACGACGGGUCGCCGGUCUGAGAGGACGGCCGGCCACACGGGGACUGGGAGACGGCCCCGACUCCUACGGGAGGCAGCAGCAAGGGAUUU
rnacentral:rRNA from 1 species